rnacentral:rRNA from 1 species
AACAGGAUUAGAUACCCUGGUAGUCCACGCCGUAAACGAUGAGUACUAGGUGUAGGAGGUAUCGACUCCUUCUGCGCCGCAGUUAACACAAUAAGUACUCCGCCUGGGAAGUACGGUCGCAAGAUUAAAACUCAAAGGAAUUGACGGGGGCCCGCACAAGCAGCGGAGCAUGUGGUUUAAUUCGAAGCAACGCGAAGAACCUUACCUAGACUUGACAUCUCCUGAAUAGCCGGUAACUCGGCGAAGCCUUUCGGGGCAGGAAGACAGGUGGUGCAUGGUUGUCGUCAGCUCGUGUCGUGAGAUGUUGGGUUAAGUCCCGCAACGAGCGCAACCCUUAUUAUUAGUUGCUACCAUUUAGUUGAGCACUCUAAUGAGACUGCCGUGGUUAACGCGGAGGAAGGUGGGGAUGACGUCAAAUCAUCAUGCCCCUUAUGUCUAGGGCUACACACGUGCUACAAUGGUGAGUACAAAGAGACGCAAUAUCGUGAGGUGGAGCAAAACUCAAAAACUCAUCCCAGUUCGGAUUGUAGGCUGAAACUCGCCUACAUGAAGCCGGAGUUGCUAGUAAUCGCGAAUCAGCAUGUCGCGGUGAAUACGCUCCCGGGCCUUGUACACACCGCCCGUCACACCAUGAGAGUCUGCAACACCCGAAGUCCGUGAGGUAACCCGUAAGGGAGCCAGCGGCCGAAGGUGGGGCCGAUGAUUGGGGUGAAGUCGUAACAAGGUAACC